CCUACGGGUGGCUGCAGUGGGGAAUUUUGGACAAUGGGCGCAAGCCUGAUCCAGCCAUUCCGCGUGAGUGAAGAAGGCCUUCGGGUUGUAAAGCUCUUUCGCAAGGGAAGAAAACUUAUCCUCUAACAUAGGAUGAGGUUGACGGUACCUUGAUAAGAAGCACCGGCUAACUACGUGCCAGCAGCCGCGGUAAUACGUAGGGUGCGAGCGUUAAUCGGAAUGACUGGGCGUAAUGUUUGAACACAGAGUUGAAAUCCCCGAGCUCAAAUUGGGAACUGCGUUUGAAACUACAAGACUAGAAUAGGUCAGAGGGGGGUAGAAUUCCACGUGUAGCAGUGAAAUGCGUAGAGAUGUGGAGGAAUAUCAAUGGCGAAGGCAGCCCCCUGGGAUCAUAUUGACGCUCAUGCACGAAAGCGUGGGGAGCAAACAGGAUUAGAUACCCUUGUAGUC
rnacentral:rRNA from 1 species